rnacentral:rRNA from 1 species
GAGCGGACAGAAGGGAGCUUGCUCCCGGAUGUUAGCGGCGGACGGGUGAGUAACACGUGGGUAACCUGCCUGUAAGACUGGGAUAACUCCGGGAAACCGGAGCUAAUACCGGAUAGUUCCUUGAACCGCAUGGUUCAAGGAUGAAAGACGGUUUCGGCUGUCACUUACAGAUGGACCCGCGGCGCAUUAGCUAGUUGGUGGGGUAAUGGCUCACCAAGGCGACGAUGCGUAGCCGACCUGAGAGGGUGAUCGGCCACACUGGGACUGAGACACGGCCCAGACUCCUACGGGAGGCAGCAGUAGGGAAUCUUCCGCAAUGGACGAAAGUCUGACGGAGCAACGCCGCGUGAGUGAUGAAGGUUUUCGGAUCGUAAAGCUCUGUUGUUAGGGAAGAACAAGUGCGAGAGUAACUGCUCGCACCUUGACGGUACCUAACCAGAAAGCCACGGCUAACUACGUGCCAGCAGCCGCGGUAAUACGUAGGUGGCAAGCGUUGUCCGGAAUUAUUGGGCGUAAAGGGCUCGCAGGCGGUUUCUUAAGUCUGAUGUGAAAGCCCCCGGCUCAACCGGGGAGGGUCAUUGGAAACUGGGAAACUUGAGUGCAGAAGAGGAGAGUGGAAUUCCACGUGUAGCGGUGAAAUGCGUAGAGAUGUGGAGGAACACCAGUGGCGAAGGCGACUCUCUGGUCUGUAACUGACGCUGAGGAGCGAAAGCGUGGGGAGCGAACAGGAUUAGAUACCCUGGUAGUCCACGCCGUAAACGAUGAGUGCUAAGUGUUAGGGGGUUUCCGCCCCUUAGUGCUGCAGCUAACGCAUUAAGCACUCCGCCUGGGGAGUACGGUCGCAAGACUGAAACUCAAAGGAAUU